rnacentral:lncRNA from 1 species
CUAGACUGAUAAAUAUAUAUUUUACUCAAAGUUUCAUACAAACGAGACCGGAAAAAGGAAGUACAUUGUACAUUUCUGCGCAGGUCCGGGAUUUCAAAACACGACAAAAAAAAUUUGAACGAUUUUGAGUUCAUUAGUACAAUGAAAAAUUCGGGAAAUUUUCCCGUAUUUUUUUUUUAUUGAAUUUUCUACUGUUAUUGGGGACUCCGUCCCCAUAUAAAUU